ACCUUGCUAAAUCUAACCUUCGGAGAAUUUGUGUUUUUUAAUUCUUCCCAUAAAUGUAUAAUGUCUUUGAAUUAACGUUACUAAUUUACCCUCUGGAUCAGCAAUGAAGGCACCUCAACUCUGCCCCACUCUCCUCAGUCAGUUGGACGUUUUUCUGAAGAAAGGUGGCAAGACAGUAGCAACCCUUGUUCCAUUCAACUCCAAACUUCAAGCAACACAGAUCUUGCUGUAAGGUGUUUAAGACCAGACCAUCUACACAUGCUAGCACAAGUGACAAUGGAAGCACUGUGCACUGGCAUCAGCUGAACCAGAGCUGCCAGCCUUGUCUCCUCUACACACUCUAUUUUCUGCUGAUGAGGGACAAGCCAAAGUGCAAAAGUGGAACAAACGGCUAAAUAUAACAAAAACCUGUUUACUGCCCCACAAUCAGCAAUGUGCUCCUGUGUGAGUACAUUUACACUAUGCAUGGCUGUGAGUGGGUGCAUGUUUGAAUUUUUACUUGAAUUAGGCUAACAAACAUGAAUGCCGUUGCAUUAGCUUAUAUGUUGUGUGCUUUGCAGAGCUUCGUUUAACUGUGUGUAGUUGUGUGCCUGAAUAUUGUCCGGGUGUAUUGCAAGUCUAUAGCUUUGGGGUUUAUGAGUUCUUUUCUGGUAUAUACAGUACUGUAUGUGUUCAGUCUUUCCAUUAACUAUUAAAAACAUCUGCUUUGGAGAAUUCCUUGUCAAACUCUGAAUCCUGAAGCAGCGAAAAGGCUUGAAGAACCAUUUAAUAUAGGCUCCUGCUGCCACUGAACAGUCAUAAUACGCAACUUUUUGCAUUGGGAUUUGAAUAAAAUGACAUACUGACGGCUAAGAGGUUUUCUUGACAUGUUUUUGGGUGCCAGGAGAUUUUUCAGACAAAAGUUUAAACUGACAAAUUCUUUUAACUCCAGCUAAAGUUUUCUUGUCCCUAGUAGCAAACUAAGAAAAUGUGUGGAUGGAUUCAAUUUGCACAUUAGCUGAUAGUCUUCAAGGGAGAGCUUAGAUAUGGAUUUCUUGGGAGGGUUCUCGGAACAUGAUUUCAGCUUUGUAAUUAAAAUUUCAUCAAGUAAUGAAGCGAACCAGAGGCUAAAUGAGCAUAAAGGUUAAUCAUCUGUUCAAUAGCUAGAAGGUCAGACUUUGUGUACUUUGGAUUAUGUGAGAUAUUAAGUGUGUGCAGGCUGCUAAUAUCGCCUGUGCGCUGACAUGAAACUAAUGGACAUGUAAAGUGUGAGCUCUGACAAGCAUUGUCGAUUAAAGGUUAAUUGUUAAUUAUUACAAUGCGUGGAAGAAACACCAAUAGCACAGCAGGAAGGAAACAAAA